UUGUAUUAUUAAUAAGUUAAUUUAUACUUUUAUGUUUUAACUAUAUUAUAGCUAUUAAUUAUUAUUAACAUGACAAAACAGUAAACAGCUUAAUUUGUUGUACUAAUAAGUAAAAAAUAAGAAUAACUUCCUUAAUUAUUAGUAAUUAAACUUAAGCCAUACGAUAAAUGUAGAAAUUUUUAGGAGUGUUGAUUGAUAUUUUCUAUGUCACACUAUACCACGUACAAUCCAACUAUAUAGAAUUUAACUCAAUAAGUAAUUUGAAGAGUAUAUAGAUAAUUCUGAUAUGUCACCACCAAAAUGUAUCGGAGCACUUCAAUCCCGUUUUGCUAUAUGAUACACAUUUCAUUAAUGUUGCAAGACAAUUUCUUUGGUUUUAUGACAUAUGAUAAUAACCAUUAUUAUUGAAAAUUUACACCAGGAGAAGUGGAGAAUAAAUGAGAAUUUUAGAAAAGCUGCAGAGUGGAUAAAUGUACAAAAGCAAAGGAUCACUUAACUAACAUUUGGGAAAACCAUAAUAAAAUAUUAUUUGAGAGUAAUAUUUUUCUAUUAACUAUUAUAUAAUGAUUCUCAAAGAUUUUUCUAAUGUAUUCCGUUGUAUAAAUUAAAAUAAUUAUAUGUUUACAAAAUAGUUAAAUAUCAUGGCUUAAUAGUUAAAAUUGA